UCAGGAGUGAAGCAUCUGUGUGGUUUCCUGAAAAGUCCAGGAUGUGGACUUGAAACUCUGAGAUUGAGGAAAUGUGGUUUGUCAUCAAAAAGCUGUGAUUAUCUGGGAGCAGCGCUGAAGUCCAAUCCCUCCCAUCUGAGAGAGUUGGACCUGAGUAACAACAACCUGCAGGACUCAGGAGUACAGCAUCUGUGUGGUUUCCUGGAGAGUCCAGGAUGUGGACUUGAAACUCUGAGACUGAGCCACUGUGACCUGUCAGAGAUAAACUGUGAAGCCAUUUUCUCAGGUCUCAGCUCUCAGUCCUCUAAUCUGAGAGUUCUGGAUCUGAGUAACAAUAACCUGAAGGAUUCAGGUGUGAAGAUUCUGUCUGAAGGACUGAAGAGUCCACACUGUACACUGGAAACUCUCAGGUGAGAUCAAACAUUGUUUUUUUCUUCAACUGACAGAUUUAGCAAAUUAAUAGUAAGGCAGUUCUCUAAUAAGAAGAGAUGUGGAGGUCUUCUGAAUUGCAAUACACUCUUAAGUUCAAUUAAAUUCAAAUCACAACAAAAGUCGCCUCAAGGCGCUUUAUAUUGUACAGUAGAUAGCACAAUAAUAAAUACAGAGGAAAAACCCAACAAUUAUGUCAUAUGACCCACUAUGAGCAAGC